rnacentral:rRNA from 1 species
GGGUUGUGAGGUUAAGCGACUAAGCGUACACGGUGGAUGCCCCGCAGUCAGAGGCGAUGAAGGACGUGCUAAUCUGCGAUAAGCGUCGGUGAGGUGAUAUGAACCGUUAUAACCGGCGAUUUCCGAAUGGGGAAACCCAGUGUGUUUCGACACACUAUCAUUAACUGAAUCCAUAGGUUAAUGAGGCGAACCGGGGGAACUGAAACAUCUAAGUACCCCGAGGAAAAGAAAUCAACCGAGAUUCCCCCAGUAGCGGCGAGCGAACGGGGAGGAGCCCAGAGCCUGAAUCAGUGUGUGUGUUAGUGGAAGCGUCUGAAAGGCGCGCGAUACAGGGUGACAGCCCCGUACACAAAAAAAAAAUGCACAUAUUGUGAGCUCGAUGAGUAGGGCGGGACACGUGGUAUCCUGUCUGAAUAUGGGGACCAUCCUCCAAGGCUAAAUACUCCUGACUGACCGAUAGUGAACCAGUACCGUGAGGGAAAGGCGAAAAGAACCCCGGCGAGGGGAGUGAAAAGAACCUGAAACCGUGUACGUACAAGCAGUGGGAGCCUCUUAAUGGGGUGACUGCGUACCUUUUGUAUAAUGGGUCAGCGACUUAUAUUCUGUAGCAAGGUUAACCGAAUAGGGGAGCCGAAGGGAAACCGAGUCUUAACUGGGCGUUAAGUUGCAGGGUAUAGACCCGAAACCCGGUGAUUCAGCCAUGGGCAGGUUGAAGGUUGGGUAACACUAACUGGAGGACCGAACCGACUAAUGUUGAAAAAUUAGCGGAUGACUUGUGGCUGGGGGUGAAAGGCCAAUCAAACCGGGAGAUAGCUGGUUCUCCCCGAAAGCUAUUUAGGUAGCGCCUCGUGAAUUCAUCUCCGGGGUAGAGCACUGUUUCGGCAAGGGGGUCAUCCCGACUUACCAACCCGAUGCAAACUGCGAAUACCGGAGAAUGUUAUCACGGGAGACACACGGCGGGUGCUAACGUCCGUCGUGAAGAGGGAAACAACCCAGACCGCCAGCUAAGGUCCCAAAGUCAUGGUUAAGUGGGAAACGAUGUGGGAAGGCCCAGACAGCCAGGAUGUUGGCUUAGAAGCAGCCAUCAUUUAAAGAAAGCGUAAUAGCUCACUGGUCGAGUCGGCCUGCGCGGAAGAUGUAACGGGGCUAAACCAUGCACCGAAGCUGCGGCAGCGACACUAUGUGUUGUUGGGUAGGGGAGCGUUCUGUAAGCCUGUGAAGGUGUACUGUGAGGUAUGCUGGAGGUAUCAGAAGUGCGAAUGCUGACAUAAGUAACGAUAAAGCGGGUGAAAAGCCCGCUCGCCGGAAGACCAAGGGUUCCUGUCCAACGUUAAUCGGGGCAGGGUGAGUCGACCCCUAAGGCGAGGCCGAAAGGCGUAGUCGAUGGGAAACAGGUUAAUAUUCCUGUACUUGGUGUUACUGCGAAGGGGGGACGGAGAAGGCUAUGUUGGCCGGGCGACGGUUGUCCCGGUUUAAGCGUGUAGGCUGGUUUUCCGUGCAAAUCCGGAAAAUCAAGGCUGAGGCGUGAUGACGAGGCACUACGGUGCUGAAGCGACAAAUGCCCUGCUUCCAGGAAAAGCCUCUAAGCAUCAGGUAACAUCAAAUCGUACCCCAAACCGACACAGGUGGUCAGGUAGAGAAUACCAAGGCGCUUGAGAGAACUCGGGUGAAGGAACUAGGCAAAAUGGUGCCGUAACUUCGGGAGAAGGCACGCUGAUAUGUAGGUGAAGCGACUUGCUCGUGGAGCUGAAAUCAGUCGAAGAUACCAGCUGGCUGCAACUGUUUAUUAAAAAACACAGCACUGUGCAAACACGAAAGUGGACGUAUACGGUGUGACGCCUGCCCGGUGCCGGAAGGUUAAUUGAUGGGGUUAGCGGUAACGCGAAGCUCUUUGAUCGAAGCCCCGGUAAACGGCGGCCGUAACUAUAACGGUCCUAAGGUAGCGAAAUUCCUUGUCGGGUAAGUUCCGACCUGCACGAAUGGCGUAAUGAUGGCGGGCUGUCUCCACCCGAGACUCAGUGAAAUUGAACUCGCUGUGAAGAUGCAGUGUACCCGCGGCAAGACGGAAAGACCCCGUGAACCUUUACUAUAGCUUGACACUGAACAUUGAGCCUUGAUGUGUAGGAUAGGUGGGAGGCUUUGAAGUGUGGACGCCAGUCUGCAUGGAGCCCGACCUUGAAAUACCACCCUUUAAUGUUUGAUGUUCUAACGUGGGCCCCUUACCGGGGUUGCGGACAGUGUCUGGUGGGUAGUUUGACUGGGGCGGUCUCCUCCUAAAGAGUAACGGAGGAGCACGAAGGUUGGCUAAUCCUGGUCGGACAUCAGGAGGUUAGUGCAAUGGCAUAAGCCAGCUUGACUGCGAGCGUGACGGCGCGAGCAGGUGCGAAAGCAGGUCAUAGUGAUCCGGUGGUUCUGAAUGGAAGGGCCAUCGCUCAACGGAUAAAAGGUACUCCGGGGAUAACAGGCUGAUACCGCCCAAGAGUUCAUAUCGACGGCGGUGUUUGGCACCUCGAUGUCGGCUCAUCACAUCCCCGGGGCUGAAGUAGGUCCCAAGGGUAUGGCUGUUCGCCAUUUAAAGUGGUACGCGAGCUGGGUUUAGAACGUCGUGAGACAGUUCGGUCCCUAUCUGCCGUGGGCGCUGGAGAACUGAGGGGCUGCUCCUAGUACGAGAGGACCGGAGUGGACGCAUCACUGGUGUUCGGGUUGUCAUGCCAAUGGCACUGCCCGGUAGCUAAAUGCGGAAGAGAUAAGUGCUGAAAGCAUCUAAGCACGAAACUUGCCCCGAGAUGAGUUCUCCCUGACUCCUUGAGAGUCCUGAAGGAACGUUGAAGACGACGACGUUGAUAGGCCGGGUGUGUAAGCGCAGCGAUGCGUUGAGCUAACCGGUACUAAUGAACCGUGAGGCUUAACCUUACAACGCCGAAG